AUUUUAAAAAAUAAACUCAUGAAACAGGCCUGGACAAAAAUGAUGGUACCCCUAGAAAAGACUGAACAUAAUGUGACCACAGGGACAUGUUCAAUGAAAGUGUGUCCUCUGAUUAGCAUCACAGGUGUCUCCAAACUUGUGU